GCCGAUAAAACUUGGCUGUAAAGAUUUGGAAUUUAGGACCUUGAAGCCCUAAAACUAUGUAAACUUGCUUAGUGACCCGUGUUUUGUAUGUUGCAGAUCAAAACAAUUUAAAAAGCAUCUAAACACCUAUUUGGAAUAUAAAGUUUACAGCCAAAAGUUUAAAGAUUUGAGAUCUAAACAGGCCCUAUAUCCAGUUGGUUUGAUAUGGAUGCUUGGCGCCAACCAGCUGGAGUUUGAUUGAGCCUUUGAGGCAGUACCAGUACGCCACAUGUCCUUGCGUUGGGGAAGCCCUCAGGUUGUGACAUGUGUCAGCAGGACGUUGCUCACUUGGCCUGCCAAACGGUUUAGACAAACCGACGAAGGCGAUCGAGCUGGUUGAUACUCAUGGCGCCUCAACCGGGAUCCUGCGGUCAAGCAAUCUUGUCAUUUUGCGCUUGGUUCGUACGUCCUGCAGUCAGUUUCAGCAAUCAGGAGAUGCAUGUACCCAAAUCCUUGGCAACACUCCAACACACACACACACACACACACACACACACACACACACAAAGAAAAGAAAAGAGAGCCCUGUACGCAAAAUAGGAAAUCCAUGUAUGCAUUAUGCAAAUGCCUAUGCACUGGUUUAAACAAAGUUCAGGCCGGCAUUUGGGCUGCCGUGGUUCUGGUUCCUUCUAAAACAGAAACUACGCCGAGUCACAGAGAGCAAGUACAGAUAUAUCAUCGCAACAGACAGCAAAGCUGCACGACCGGGUCAUGCCGUCGAACACAUCCGGUCGAGUCCGAGCAAACUCAGCCAAAUGUCCAGUCACCUUAUGAUGCAAACACCUGCUAAAUACAAGUGGUUGCUUUCUUUGUCACGAAGACCUCAGAUCUUAGUUUACAUCUUCAUGAUUAGUGUUAAACAUAACUAAUCUUAAUCUAACAAAUUUAACUCGAAUGCUGACUGAAGCUAUGAUAACAGCUGACGACAUUAUACACAUGCUUACAAGCAACUACGGUACAUCAGAAUGCUCCAUAGUGGACUCAGCUCCUCUGUCAGUUUGGACGCUUGCCUGUGUUAUUAUCGUUCUUGCGAAUGGCAGUUAACAUCAAACAAACAAGGAAAUAAUAGCACCUGAAAAGCACGAGUUUUGUUUAUAAAGAAACCUAGAAAACGGCACUACAAAAGGUACUCUUCAUAGAGCAACCGGAGCCAUAUGCAGCAGGGAGAACCUGGUGCUAGGCAGGCACGGAAUGGCAGAAAAAAGCUUCCCCAAAGAUUCCGCGGUUGGUGUAGUGAAUGGUGGGGAAAAGGAGGAGAAUGGCGAGAAGAUGGUGGCAAUGGCUAAGGCUCCAUUCCACAGCAUGUUUAAGUAUGCUGACAGAACAGACGUUCUGCUGAUGCUGGUCGGCACGGUCGGGGCACUGGGCAAUGGCAUGUCGAUGGUGAUCAUGACAAUCAUCUUCGGGCAGAUGAUUGAUGCCUUUGGGGGUGCCACCCCGGACACCAUUGUUCCCCGAGUCAGCAAGGUAUGGCUGUAACGGCCCUCUGGAAGCCACAGUCUGCGAAUCUUAUUAUAUAGAGGAUUAGCCAUUGAUUACUUGUAAAAUAGAUGAUAAAUUUGAUAUCCGUGCAUCGUCAUGUCCUCAAUUUGCUAUGUAAGUUGUGUUAUAUAGAAGAAUAAUUGUUUUGUUAUCUUCCUGGCUAGUUAUUGGAUGUACUAGUGAUAUGGCUAGCAUUUUCUUUCAGGCAUCUCUGAACUUCAUUUACUUGGCCAUUGGAACAGGGUUUGCUUCUUUCAUUCGUAAGUAUAACUGUUAUGCACAUUUUUUUUAGUGGAUAAAUGGUUGCCAGUCUCCAGAAGAUGAUUUGUUAAAAGCUGGAAAUAAUACUUCUCUCCCGACCAAGUCGUGUGAGCAUGCCACACUAUCCUAUUUGGCUGUCUAUAACAUACACGAUAUUGAGCAACUUAUGAACUUGGAAUCUUAUUUGAUGAGCAAGAUCUUUGUGAUACUAAUACCUAUGCAUAGAAAUCCGAGUAUCAGAUUUGCCAUGUAGUACUUUUGAGGGUCAUUAAGAAUUGGAAUGCCACUGAAAUCAUUCUUAAGAUGUGUUUGGUUUCAGGAAUCACUCCAUCCUAGAUGAGGUGGUGCAUCAUGAAUCCAUAUCCAUUCCUCAAAUUUAGUGGAAUUAUUCCAUUCCGCAUACUAGUACUAAUUAUUAGCUUGUGAGGAAUGAGGUGGUGAUGCAUCAACCUAUUGCACUUCAGAAACCAAACAAAAAAGUGAAGAAUGAGUAGAUAAUGGACUAACUCCUUUAUCAAACCAAACACACCCUUACUGUCUUAAAUAAUGCUCAAAUGCAAAUACAUGAUCAUAACACAAUGCUUACCAGAGAUAUCAUGCUGGACAAUGACUGGGGAGAGGCAGGCCACUCGUAUUCGGUCAUUGUAUCUCAAGUCGGUCCUCAGACAGGAUAUGACAUUCUUUGAUGUUGAAAUGACUACUGGACAUGUAGUCUCCAGCAUAUCUGCUGACAUGACCCUAAUUCAGGGUGCUAUUGGUGAAACGGUAAGAGCAUAAACCUUGCAUCUUCUUCAAUAUUUUAGAUCUGAUACAAAAGAACAAAUAAACUGAUCAGCUGCUACAUCACAGAAAAAGGCUGUUUUGUUUAUUUCAUUUCUUCCUUUUUUUUUCUGAUGGGACCACAUCACAGAACUAAAUAUGUCAGUAAUUUUACUAAAAGUAAAACUCUGAUAUAAUUGAGCAUGCACUUUGCAUAUCUCGCAGUUUUUUUUUUUACACUUGCACAUUCUUGAUUCUUUGAUCUUCAGGUCGGCAAGUUCAUACAACUUGUUACAACUUUCUUCGGUGGGUUUGUGCUGGCAUUCAUCAAAGGCUGGCUUCUAACUCUCGUUAUGCUUUCUACUAUACCACCAUUUGUUGCUGCUGGUGGAAUUGUCGCAAAGAUGCUAUCCAAAAUAUCUAGCGAGGGCCUAGAGUCAUACAGUGAUGCAGGCGAUAUUGUUGAACAAACAAUUGGCUCCAUAAGAACGGUAGGCCUAUGCUAUCUUGAUCAUACACAACAAAUAAUAAAGUUUGUGACUGACUUGUAAUCGUAGUAAAUAACAGGUUGCUUCCUUCAAUGGUGAAAAGAAAGCCAUUACCCUGUACAACAAUCUCAUAAAGAAGGCAUACAAAGGCGCAGUCAAGGAAGGGGCUGUCCGAGGCUUUGGAAUGGGUUUACUUUCAUUAAUAUAUUUUUCCGCCUUUGGACUGCUUAUAUGGUAUGGCAGCAAGUUAAGCCUUACUAAAGGAUAUAGCGGUGGAGAUAUCCUAAAUGUAAUGUUUGCAAUCAUGAUAGGUGCAAGGUGAGCAUUGAUGCUGAAAAUGUCCUUCUCUAAAGUAAAAUUCAACAAAUAACAUGCCUUGUUCUAGCAUUUUAAGAAGUUUAUAGUAAUGAUAUCUGCUUUUGAUCCAUGUUCUAGUACUUUAUCACAACAAAAUAUAUCACAUCUGUCUGCUAACAUGAAAUUCUUUUAACUGUUUGGGACAGAAAUUUAGGUGAUGCAACCCCCUGCAUAGCUUCCUUUGAGGAAGGAAGAGUUGCGGCUUACAGAUUGUUCAAAACAAUCAAAAGGAGACCAGAAAUUGACUAUGGGGAUAGCACUGGCAUUGUGUUAGAGGACAUCAAGGGUGAAGUAGAACUGAAGGAUGUAUUCUUCAGCUACCCAAGCAGGCCAGAUCAACUGAUAUUUAAUGGAUUUUCAGUGCAUGCAUCAAGUGGCACGAUAAUGGCCAUAGUCGGGGAGAGUGGGAGUGGGAAAUCAACUGUGAUCAAUCUGGUCGAGAGAUUUUAUGAUCCACAGGCUGGAGAAGUUUUAAUUGAUGGGAUGAACAUCAAAGGUUUCAAGCUAGAAUGGAUAAGGGGAAAGAUUGGCCUUGUUAACCAGGAACCACUGCUUUUUAUGACGUCCAUCAGGGAGAAUAUUACCUAUGGAAAAGAGGACGCAACCCUUGAAGAAAUCAAGACAGCAGCUGAGCUCGCAAAUGCAGCAACAUUCAUUGAGAACUUGCCUGAUGUACUUACAUGAACAUGAUCUGCACAAUAAUAAUUCAUGGUCAUGUAUAAAACUAUAAGACUGAUCAUAUAUUUAUAUGAUUUCAGGGUUAUGAAACAACAGUUGGACAACGGGGUGCUCAGCUUUCUGGGGGACAGAAGCAGAGGAUUGCGAUCGCGAGAGCCAUCCUUAAAAACCCAAAAAUUCUUUUGCUUGAUGAAGCAACUAGCGCAUUGGAUUUGGAGUCUGAAAGGAUAGUCCAAGAUGCAUUAAAUAGGAUCAUGGUGGGGAGAACCACACUUGUUGUGGCGCACCGUUUGAGCACUGUAAGAAAUGCUCACUGCAUCUCAGUUGUUUCUAAAGGAAAACUAGUAGAACAAGGUAAUUGCGUCUUGAGCACAUUCUUUAGCUUCCUUUUGUGCAAAAAGGUUCAAAGAAAGAUUAUUCAUUUAUACCUGUAAAUGCAGGACAUCAUGAUGAAUUAGUAAAGGAUCCUGAUGGAGCAUACUCUCAGCUUAUACGGCUGCAAGAGAAACAACAAGAAAAUGGCCGCAUGUCAGAUGCUAGAUUAUCAGGCUCAGCAUCUAAAAGGAGUGGGUCACUCAGACGAUCAAUAAGUAGAAGUUCAGCAGGGAGCAGCCGUCAUUCUUUAAGCCUUCCCUUAGGUAUUCCUGGACCCACUGAACUAAUGGAGUAUAACUUUGGACAAGGUGCCAGACAAAUCGAAAAUAUUGAUGACAAGGUACCAAACAAAGCACCAAUGGGACGCCUAAUUAACCUAAACAAACCAGAGACUGCAGUUCUUCUGUUUGGGUCUAUUGCAGCAGCAAUUGACGGAGCUGUCUUUCCAACACUUGGUUUAGCAAUGGCUAGUGCUUCCAAAAUAUUUUAUGAACCACCAGACCAGCAGCGCAAAGAUUCUAUCCUUUGGGCAUUACUGUGUGUUGGCCUCGGUGCAACUGCUAUGAUAUCAAAGAUAGUAAAUAGUUUUCUUUUUGCAAUAGCUGGUGGGAAGCUUAUACAACGAAUCCGCGCUUUGACAUUUGAAACCAUGGUGCACCAAGAAGUUGCUUGGUUUGAUUAUCCUGAAAAUUCGAGGCAAGUAAUCUAUAUUUCAAUCUAUUCAUGGGACCAAACAAUCUAUAUACUGACAGUCAUUUGCAUUAUUAACAGUGGGGCACUUAAUGGAAGGCUAUGUAUCGAUGCACUUAAUGUAAGACGUCUAGUGGGAGAUAACUUGGCCUUAAUUGUCCAAAGUACUGCAACACUUACUUGUGGAGUAGUAAUCGCAUUGAUAGCGGACUGGAAGCUUUCAUUGGUAAUCUUAUUGGUAAUCCCUUUAAUGGGUCUCCAAGGUUAUGCUCAAGUGAACUUCCUACGGGGGUUCAGUCAAGAUGCCAAGGUGAGCUAUAAAUUAGAUUUCUAGAUUUUCCUUCUCAUGUUCCAGCUUUCCAGCUACAAAUAUGCCAACUUUGUUAUAGUGUUAUGUUGUUCCCAAUAAACCAUAAGUUAUUAUUUCCACAAGUUAUUUUGUCAUAUGAUAAAGAGACCUGAAACUUAGAUUUGAUAGAUCCCUCAUGCUGGCAAAAGGAAGACAAGUAAUCAUCUUUAAAAGUAAUCCCUGAAUUAAAUGUUGCCAAUAUUGCUUUCUUUUUCUAUUGGAUGUGGUCAUUUGGAUGACACUUAUGGUAUUUUUCUUCCCUUCUUUUCUGAAUUUUACUAUCACAUCUGGUAUGUGCUUGUAGACAAUGUAUGAGGAAGCAAGUCAAAUUGCAACUGAAGCAGUUGGUAGCAUCAGAACAGUAGCAUCUUUUUGUGCCGAGGAGAGAGUGAUGGACAGAUAUAAUCAGAAAUGCCAAGCUUCUAGGGAUCAGGGAAUUCGAACUGGAAUAGUUGGAGGCCUUGGUUUUGGUUUCUCAUAUAUGAUGCUAUACGCCAGUGCCGCUCUUUGUUACUAUGUUGGUGCAAAGUUUGUUAGUCAGGGAAAAUCCACUUUUGGUGAUGUCUUCAAGGUAAGUAAUAGUCAUUGUAUUUUUUUCCUUUUUGGUGAAUAUAAUAUUUGAUAUUUAUGUUUUAUUGGAAUGCAGGCUUACUUUGCUUUAGUUAUGGCCAUGAUUGGAGUGUCACAAACAAGUGCUAUGGCUUCUGACUCAGCUAAGGCAAAUGAUUCUGCUAUUUCCAUAUUUUCAAUAUUAGAUAGAAAAUCCUUAGUUGAUUCCAGCAGUGAAGGUUCCACCUUGGAGAAUGUCAAGGGUGACAUUGAUUUUAAGCAUGUCAGCUUCAAAUAUCCAUCCCGUCCUGAUGUUCAAAUUUUCACUGACUUCACCUUAAGCAUUCCCUCUGGAAAGGUCUAAACUAUUACCCGGAUCCUAAUUUAUCGAUCUUCUCUCGGUGUUAUGAGGAUUUAAUUUUUUUAUGCCAUCAUAUUUCUGAGGACUUACACAGAAACCUUCUACUGCAGACAGUUGCGCUUGUUGGUCAAAGUGGUAGUGGCAAGUCCACGGUCAUAUCUUUGUUAGAGCGCUUCUAUGAACCCGACAGUGGUGUGAUUUUAUUAGAUAGAGUGGAAAUUAGUAGUCUAAAGGUCAGCUGGUUGAGGGACCAGAUGGGAUUGGUAAGCCAAGAACCAGUGCUUUUCAGUGGAACAAUCCGUGACAAUAUAGCUUACGGAAAGCAUGAAGAGGUAACAGAAGAAGAGAUUGCCGCAGCUGCUAGAGGAGCCAAUGCCCAUGAAUUCAUCUCAAGCAUGCCACAGGGGUACAAUACAACUGUUGGAGAGAGAGGAACACAACUUUCAGGUGGCCAAAAACAGCGAAUAGCUAUCGCGAGAGCAAUCUUGAAGGACCCAAAGAUACUUCUUCUGGACGAGGCAACAAGCGCAUUAGAUGCUGAAUCAGAGAGCAUCGUGCAGGAUGCAUUAAAUCGUGCUAUGGUUGGCAGGACAACUGUCAUUGUGGCACACCGCCUCUCAACAAUCCAAGGAGCUGAUAUGAUUGCUGUCCUAAAGGAUGGCGCAAUUGUGGAAAAAGGAAGACAUGGGACGCUGAUGGGCAUUGCUGGUGGAGCUUAUGCUUCACUUGUGGAGCUUCGCACCGUGUAAUAUAAUACAAAAUUUUGAGCUAUGCAGUUGAUGGCUACUCUCUUGUCAAAAUUUAACAGUUUAUGGAAGAAUUUUUUUGUGAACACCUAUAAGUUUGCUAGGGUAGGGUACCCAUUGCAGUGUUGGUUGAGCUUAUCUGCCGAAUCUGCCAGCCAUUCAGCAGUAUUUUUCUCACAACAAAUCAGCGAACAGUACUUUCGCCAAGCAAGCAGGCUUGUUUAAGUUUGCAAAGGGCAAAGUGUUGGGUACUACAAUGAUCAACACGAUCUAGAACACUUAUUAACCAAACAAGUAAAACAACCUUACGGAUCACUUGCAUUGCAUUUACCUUGAAGAGCAUUUAAAUUUAAAUCAAUAAAGCUACUACACCUACAAAUGCAAACUAGCAAAAAAAAAACAUAGAACAGUGACAUGCCUUUGAAAUCACGAAGAGGAAUGGUUGUCAACUCACGUGAGACGAACCAUACUGUCAAACGCCAUAGAUUCUAAGACGGUAUCUGCAAUGACAACAUUUACCAUCAAUCAACAGUAGCUCAAUCUCCGUUUGACAGCCCCGUUUGCAUUGGUACUGGCGAAACCCGAAAAAGCCAGGCGGCAAUUCGUACGAGGCUACCAGAUACCGAACAGUUCAAGCAGCUCAGCAAUCAACAAAUCAGUCCUGCAAAAAAAAAAAAAAAUCAGUGCCGUUCAUUUUGAUUCGACCUGGCUCCGCGCAUACGAGCUCAGCGGUGGAAAUUACAGGAAUGCAAUAAGAACUUUAGAAGGGUUCAAGGCUUAAGACCAUACCUCAGGUAGCGCACUCCGCGCGCGUGGGAGGAGACGGGGAGGUGUACAGCGCAGCCAUGCCGGAUCCACGGUACGGGCAGACCUCAGGGGAAGUGAAGAGCCUCGCCGCGAGCGGCGGAUGCGAGGAUCGCCGCUGAUCGGAGUCGGGAGUGGGACCCGCGAGGACGACCGGCCAAGGGGUUGUUGGGCCGCCGAUGGUAAUGGGCUAAUUUAUAGCAUG
rnacentral:lncRNA from 1 species